ACACUCCUGCGGGAGGCAGCAGUGGGGAAUAUUGGACAAUGGGCGCAAGCCUGAUCCCGCCAUGCCGCGUGAGUGAUGAAGGCCCUAGGGUUGUAAAGCUCUUUCACCGGUGAAGAUAAUGACGGUAACCGGAGAAGAAGCCCCGGCUAACUUCGUGCCAGCAGCCGCGGUAAUACGAAGGGGGCUAGCGUUGUUCGGAUUUACUGGGCGUAAAGCGCACGUAGGCGGACUAUUAAGUCAGGGGUGAAAUCCCGGGGCUCAACCCCGGAACUGCCUUUGAUACUGGUAGUCUUGAGUUCGAGAGAGGUGAGUGGAAUUCCGAGUGUAGAGGUGAAAUUCGUAGAUAUUCGGAGGAACACCAGUGGCGAAGGCGGCUCACUGGCUCGAUACUGACGCUGAGGUGCGAAAGCGUGGGGAGCAAACAGGAUUAGAAACCCGAGUAGUCCCA
rnacentral:rRNA from 1 species